CCGUUUCAAUUUGCUGGGGACAAAUAAAGUGAAUAUGGCUAUCAAUUCCACCAGCCGUUAGGAUUUUACCUUCUCCCGCAAUAGCCUCCGUAGACGGACCAAUAAUAAUAUCAACGUUGUCUUGAAUAUAGGGAUUUCCCGCUUUACCAAUUUUACAGAUUUUACCGUCUUUAAUACCCACAUCAGCUUUAAUAAUUCCCCACCAGUCUAAAAUUAGGGCAUUAGUAAUUACCACAUCAACCGCCCCAUCUUCCCUAGAAAUGGGAGAUUGUCCCAUACCAUCUCGA
rnacentral:sRNA from 1 species